rnacentral:tRNA from 1 species
GGCCUCGUAGCUCUGUUAGUAGAGCACUCACGGUACCAAAGCGGGGAUGGCAACCAUGCGUAGGUUCGAAACCCGCCGGGGUCA